rnacentral:rRNA from 1 species
GACGAACGCUGGCGGCGUGCCUAAUACAUGCAAGUUGAGCGCUGAAGGUUGGUACUUGUACCAACUGGAUGAGCAGCGAACGGGUGAGUAACGCGUGGGUAAUCUGCCUUUGAGCGGGGGACAACAUUUGGAAACGAAUGCUAAUACCGCAUAAAAACUUUAAACACAAGUUUUAAGUUUGAAAGAUGCAAUUGCAUCACUCAAAGAUGAUCCCGCGUUGUAUUAGCUAGUUGGUGAGGUAAAGGCUCACCAAGGCGAUGAUACAUAGCCGACCUGAGAGGGUGAUCGGCCACAUUGGGACUGAGACACGGCCCAAACGCCUACGGGAGGCAGCAGUAGGGAAGCUUCGGCAAUGGACGAAAGUCUGACCGUGCAACGCCGCGUGAGUGAAGAAGGUUUUCGGAUCGUAAAACUCUGUUGGUAGAGAAGAACGUUGGUGAGAGUGGAAAGCUCAUCAAGUGACGGUAACUACCCAGAAAGGGACGGCUAACUACGUG